UCAAGCAGGAGUGGGCACCUUGCCAGUAGUCCCCCUCACCAGUGGGAGGCCUAGUUUUCUCACCUGCAAACUGGGGAAAAUGUGACUUCUCUUUCCUGGUGCACCGGCCUGUGGCGAGGACCAGGUGAAUCCCAGAUACGGACAACUGUUGGAGGUGAAAUCUUGCUUGGUGGGGCUCCAGUCUCUGAGCAAGGGGAGACCCUUCACCCAGUUGGCCUGCGAUAAUCUUUUAUUUUUUUUAAGAUUUAUUUAUUUAUUCAUUCAUUCAUGAGAGAGGCAGAGACAUAGGCAGAGGGAGAAGCAGGUUCUCCAUGGGGAGCCUAAUGUGGGACUCGAUCCCUGGACCCCGGGAUCACACCCUGAGCUGAAGGCAGACUCUCAACCACUGAGCUACUCCCCCGGCACUCCUGGCCUGUGAUAAUCUUAAAAGCAGAGGUCAUCAUCUUCCCACGAAUCGGCUGAGGUCAUCAGUUCGAGCUCAAACUCACUUCCUCAUGUUUACCUUUUUCUCUGGGAGCCAUCAGACCCAGCCCAGUUCCCAGUCUCUGCCAGGCCUGUUCUCUGCCAAGCUGGGGCCCCCUCUCUGCAGGCUGGCCCUGACCUCAUGCCCAGUGCAGGAUAUUGAACCCUUAUCCUGCUCCAACCCUCUGGGACAAGAAACUGCCUUGUUCUUGGCACAUCCCCACUCGGUACCAGGACUGGAAUCUGGGGAGAGGCCGGAGAUUGCAAGCUGCCCAGCUGGGACUUUUGAGCAUCCCCCGAGCCUGAGAACUGGUUUCAACUAGCACCCUCAAGUGGAAGAGGUCUAAGAAUAUAAAGGUCAUUUUCUUUUUCUUUUUUUGAAGAUUUUAUUUAUUUAUUCAUGAGAGACACACAGAGAGAGGCAGAGACAUAGAGGGAGAAGCAGGCUCCCUGUGGGGAGCCUGAUGCGGGACUGGAUCCCAGGACCCCAGGAUCAUGACCUGAGCCAAAGGCAAAGGCUCAACCACUGAGCCACCCAGGUGUCCCAUAAAGGUCAUUCUCAAGUUAGAAUGACCAGGGCCCGAGGUUGAUUGGUAGAGGAAGAAGAAAAAGAGUGAAAGUCAAGAGGAAGGCUGAGUCCCAUGAAGGAUGGCCCAUCACCACAGCCGUGGAGGGAAAGACCCAGGCCGCCGUGGGCUCUGAAUCCUCUGGCCUGGCAUAGUGCCCGCCACAGAUGGGUGCAGAGUCUCUGCUGGAUGGAUGAAUGAAUGAACGAGUGAAGGUACAGAUGAGUUCUUCUCUCUCCGGAUCCUAGUGCAUUUUCUGGAGCCACCGUCCCUCCUGAUACACAAGGCCAAGGGAGGAAGUGACUAAGCCAGCCAAGUUCAGAGAGGAAACAUUAGCCCCUGUGACAUCUGCCCGGGAACGGGAGACUAAGAGAGGACAGGAUGGGCACCCAGAAUCCGAAGCAGCACCCCAACUCUUGCUGGCUCUUACAAAAGCUUGGGUCCCACAGGCUUAGCCACACCACUGCCAGCGCGGCGGGGUGUUGAAUAAGCCCUGACUGUUUUUAUCUCGUUUAACCCUUCCGAAGACCUUCUGAGGUAGGUACUAUUAUUUUCUCCAAUUUACAGAUGUGACUACAGAGGCAGGAGGUCAGGCAACCUGACCAGGAUCCCAUAGCUUAUAAAAAUAACCGAGCUGGGAUUUUUUUUUUUUUUUCUUUUUCCUGCAAUGGUGCUGUUUCAUCUUUAAAAUACCAGCAAUUUGCCCACAUGCUCAGCUCUGCUACAAUGUGUUAUUUUCAGAUCUAGCAAUGAACUACAGAAUGGUAGAAAUGGAAGAGCCUUUGAGAUGAAUUAGUCCAGGCCAGAGUCGGGGGGAGAAGGGGGAGGAAGGCUGAGCAUACAGGCUGCAGAUCCUCCCCUCCCUCUUCUUUCUGCUCCUAAAAUAAAACAGGACAAAAGACUGGAAAGUUACUGGAU
rnacentral:lncRNA from 12 species